rnacentral:tRNA from 2 species
GCACCCGUGGUGUAGAGGCCCAACAUGCUUCCCUGUCACGGAAGAGAUCGCCGGUUCGAAUCCGGUCGGGUGCG